rnacentral:misc_RNA from 1 species
UUACGUUGUCGAAUUUCGGUAUGAUCGGCGGCCGCUUCGCAAGUCUCGUGGGCGUACCACCGCAAGUGGCGAUCGUCGGCGCCGGACGGAUCGCCCAGUUGGUGGUGGGGGGGCAGGGCCAGACGGCGGGGGCCCCCCCGCCGGCCGCCUUCCNNNNNNNAUCGCGUUGUGACGGGCGGCGAGGCCGCUCGCUUUUUGGUGGCGCUAAGGUCGGAUCUUGAGCGGGCAUCAUAGAUCUGCGAUG